GAUAGUUCCGUUUGAUUUCUCUCGGUUUCGUCUGAUUUUGGACAAGUUUCAAUUACACAUUAAGAUCAACUCAAGUUGCGUUUAAGUUUUCAUCAUCAUUUCAACUCGACGGUUUCGCCUGGUUUUGGAAGGCUGCGUCCGAUUACGAAUUGUUCUAUCCAUUUUCGAAGAUUCUGUUAAAUUUCGGACGGUCCCAAAGGCAUAUCAACAGCUCUGUAUAAGCCGCCCUGGAUUUGACCCUCUUCAGAGAGGGUGACGAUCUGCCUCCCAGCAUUCCAUGCAAGACUAACACAGAACAUGGCCGUGCGAUUUAUUGUAUUUCGGAUUGUUGGAUUGUUUUCUUUCUUUGUUAUUUUCUGGUUGGAUUUUCCUUUGUUUAUGCUCGGAAAUUAGAAAUUUGGUCAUUUCUGAACGCUUUCAUCGCAGCUGGAAGAGUGAACUCGACGUGGAGACAAACCAAAGCUGUUUGGAUCUUGGAUCGUAGUCAUGAUUGUGGAAAUCUCAGCUUUGCCUUUGAGUCCUAGUGGAAUGAAGAGUGCAAUGAUGGAAAAGCCAGGUAUUAUGGUGAAUGGACAACAUCAGCAAUGAAUCAGAAUGUGGUGUUUUUUAGUAAGAUAAACAAUUUUUCUUUGAAGACUGCAGUCAUGAGGAAUUGUUAGCGACGUGAACGUGUAUUUGGAAGUUUCGAGCCAAUUGAGUUGAUGUUGUGGAACUUGUGAUUACAGGAACUUCAAGUAAGUUUUGCAGCAAGGAACACAGACG